rnacentral:rRNA from 1 species
UACGUAGGGUGCGAGCGUUGUCCGGAAUUAUUGGGCGUAAAGGGCUCGUAGGCGGUUUGUCGCGUCGGGAGUGAAAACUCAGGGCUUAACCCUGAGCCUGCUUCCGAUACGGGCAGACUAGAGUGUGGUAGGGGAGACUGGAAUUCCUGGUGUAGCGGUGGAAUGCGCAGAUAUCAGGAGGAACACCGGUGGCGAAGGCGGGUCUCUGGGCCAUAACUGACACUGAGGCACGAAAGCUAGGGGAGCAAACAGG